GCCAGAGCAGAUCCAAAUUAACACAUUCGAAGUCCACUCCUCCAUCGUAUCCGUAAUCACUGAUUAUAUUUCGGUCCAGCUCAGCAUCCAAGAACAUAACAAUUUAUAUAUAUAUAUAUAUAUAUAUAUAUAUAUAUAUCAGUGAUCGUUUGACGAAACGGCUUCCACGUUUUCGAUUAAAAUUCAUUAAAGCUUCUGAGAUUAGUGUGCUUCUGAAAAUGGACUUGAAAGAGCAUGCGACGCAUAUCAAUCGAAGAAGAAACUAGCGAAGGGAAAGAAGGAAAAAAGAAAUAGAUGUGUCGGGUACAGGUCGUGUGGAAUGCAGCCAGCCGAGAGGCUUCCAACAUUCAUAAAUUUAUACCAACUGCCUUCUGCCAGGUUCGUUUUAUCGUCUGACAAUAUGCCCCGAGCCUUCUCUGAUCGGUUCAAACAUUCAAAAUCAACUCAUUCGGGCCAUUUGAUUAUUUCUAACGAGAUUGAGAAAGAAUCGGUGGUAAUGGGUAAAAGGAAGAAAGAAAGAAAGAAAGAAAGAAAGAAAGAAAGAAAAAAAAA